UAUUUACUGUGAUGUUAGUGUUCUUUAUUAGCAUGAUAGCAUCUUCACUUUGUUUUUUCAAAUAAAUUCAUUGUUCAGUAUUUACUGCUCUACUUUAUUCAUAAAUCCAUUGUUCAUUUUUGUUUAUUAAAAUAGCCAUGUCUAUCUGCUAUUCCUAGGAUUUCCUUAAAUAACUAUGCUAAUAAAUAUGUCCAUCUCGGAGAGAAUUAAUCUUGCUUCCUUGCAGACUCUGAACAUCAGGACCAUGUGGACUAAACUUGCAUGUGGGUGCACCAAGGAGAAGGUCCCACUCAUCAAGGGAUAACAACUAAUUGGUCAGACUUUGUGAAGACAGGGGUUGGAUAAUUUGGAGAAUGUCUUUGCGUUAAAGGCUAAAAGGGGCAAAGUGUCACUUGUUGUCUACCUGUUUUGACAAGGUUCAUUGUGAGCGUUCGCUUGGACUUAUCUCACACCAUUGAUCUGGCUCGCUUUGGUUAUGUAAUAAGCCAACUAUUGUAUCUACUUAGUGUUGAUCCAUCAGCUUGGCUUACUUUUGGAACAUACUACGUAUUCCCCCAUUUGUCAUGAACUUUUAGAUCUAAUGUUUCAUGCUUCUGGUAUAUUUGAUGGCCUUACCUUUUGUCAUUGUUUGGACAAAUUGCUCUACACUGGACACUUAUGUAUCAAGGCAAUGCCAUGCUUCUGAUGCAACCUUAUUGUAUUGGACUGAUCCAUUAUUUGAGCAAUCACUCUAAUUUUCCUUUGCAA